GUUGUGCUCAGUGGGCCGCAAACCUACUGGUUUCUGUUUAGCAGUAGCAGGGCAAAUCUUGGGGCCAUAUAGUGGUGGCACCUUGAAUGGGGCAUCACUCAUCCUGGGGCUGUAUUAUGUGUGCUGUUUCAUCAGUAUAACGUCUCGUUAUUUGUGGCGACUUUGGGUGCUUGUCGGGUCUGCUGCCCUUUUCCUUGUGGCUGCCCCAGAAAUCCCUCCACCCCAGUAACUGUAAACCCCCCUGCUUGGAU